CAGAUGGAGGUGGAUGUAGCAGAUGAGAACCACCAUUGCACACGCUCAAAAGUUCCCCUGGAGCCAGCCAUACAAGAGUUGUUCAGCGUGUAUGGCUGUCCUGUCGCCAAGAAGAGAAAACCCCUGGAGAGUCAUACCCUGGAGCCCUCGCCCAAGAGGAAGGUCUUUCUCACAGUCAUAGGCCAACAGUCAAUGGAGAAAUGCUAUAACAUACAC